rnacentral:ncRNA from 2 species
AAAUUUAAUAUUGUUAUAAGUUUUUCGAAAGAAAAUUAAAAGAGAAUUUGGUGAGAAUCCAGAACGAACCCGUCACUGUAUUAGGGAGUUAUUUGUGAAAUACCAUUGGAGGUUUUUCCGAGAAGGUACAAUUAACUAUGAACUUAAGUCAGGAGAACUGCUUAUAGCUACAUUUUUAA